GCAGUAGUUGGGGCCAUUUUCAAUCUCAGGUAUCUCCUUGCCACUUAAUUUCGUGCAUUGCCCAUUCCAGCGAGACCCAAUAAUUUGCCAUUCGGAUCUCGGUGAGGAGCAGCGAAUUAGCAGUAGUUGGGGCCAUUUUCAAUCUCAGUGGAAAAAAGCCUGAAUACUUGGGGGUGCAGAAGAACCAACAAGCACUAGCUCUGUGUCCAGCUACCAAGAAUUGCAUAUCAACUUCGGAGAAUAUCAGCGAUCU
rnacentral:misc_RNA from 1 species